GUGUAAUACUAUAAGUGUCUUCUUGUCCUGUUUUCCUGAUAUGGAGGGCCUGACAUGGAGCUCCGAGACAAAAUCUGUAAACCCCUUUCCUGAUGGAAUUUUAUUUUCUUCAACAGGGCCUUGUGACUAUUCUGAUGAUUCUGAGCUGUCUACAAAUAUUUAUUUCCCUGCCUCUCUCCAUGCUCAUUUAUAAUGUGGAUGAUGAGAAUAUUGGCUGGAUUUCUGUUUUGCCUUGUUGGAAAUCUGCUUCUGAAGAUCCUUAUCAAGAUUUGCUGCCUCAAGCUUCAAUCUAUGAAGACCUCCAGCAAAAGGGUCCAACAUCCAAUUAUACAGUCACCGUAAACAAAUGUGAGGCUUCACCUCUGUAGUUUGGAUCCAAAAUGACAAGAGGCUAAUGCUAUGACAUAAGGACACACCCAUCUGAGGCUACAGCUGUGCAGUUCAAAUUCAUGAAGAGGGCAACUAGCAGCUGGAAAAUCAGGAGCUCAUUGGCCUCCUUUCUUUUUUUGUGUUGGAUGUUAUCACAGGACAGGGAAUGCUCGUUUAAAAUCUUAACCUUAAAGUACCAGUGGCUUAAAACAUCUGAAGUUCAUUUAUUGUAUACUUUAUAAGUUAAUCAUUAGUUAGCAGGAGGCUGUGGCCACAUCUUCAACUUAGACUCAUACGGAUAUGAGUUCCACAAUGUGGAAUUCCAUAAUCUCAAAACCUUUCUGCAGGUUUGCCGGAGUAGGGGAAGGAAAAGUCAGAAGCCAUGGCUUUGGUGAUUAAAAUCUUUGCCCUAGAGGUGGCAAAUUUCUCUUUUGGCUACAGCCCAUUAGCCAACACUAUGUGGGUGAUGAGAAAUACAAAUAUAGCAUCAUAUAAAGAUGAAUAAUAUUAUCUCUGUCAUACUGUUCUUCCCCUGCCAUGAUCUAUUUUCUGACAAUGCAACUUGAUUUAUUCAUGACUAAACAUUAAAAAAAGUUUGACAUUUCUUAUAAUUCUAAGAUAUGUGGAUAGGUAACUCUAUUCCGUACGUAAAACUCUGAAGGUUAAUCACUGAUGAUAAACAGUGUACUAAAGGUAGAGUUCCAUAGAUUAAUUGAAAAAAUACUUUGCAUGAAGUCUUGGCUCAUUACUUUUACACUUUGACUUUGGACACAUGUCUUCCCUCAAUAAAAAUCAGUUUCUUUAACUCUGAAA